rnacentral:rRNA from 1 species
CCUACGGUGGCAGCAGUGGGGAAUAUUGGACAAUGGGCGAAAGCCUGAUCCAGCCAUGCCGCGUGUAUGAAGAAGGCCUUCGGGUUGUAAAGCACUUUCAGUGGGGAAGAAAGCCUUGGGGCUAAUACCCUCGAGGAAGGACAUCACCCACAGAAGAAGCACCGGCUAACUCCGUGCCAGCAGCCGCGGUAAUACGGAGGGUGCGAGCGUUAAUCGGAAUUACUGGGCGUAAAGCGCGCGUAGGCGGUCUGAUAAGCCGGUUGUGAAAGCCCCGGGCUCAACCUGGGAACGGCAUCCGGAACUGUCAGGCUAGAGUGCAGGAGAGGAAGGUAGAAUUCCCGGUGUAGCGGUGAAAUGCGUAGAGAUCGGGAGGAAUACCAGUGGCGAAGGCGGCCUUCUGGACUGACACUGACGCUGAGGUGCGAAAGCGUGGGUAGCAAACAGGAUUAGAUACCCUUGUAGUC